rnacentral:tRNA from 2 species
GGGGGUGUAGCUCAGCGGUAGAGCGCGCGCUUAGCAUGCGCGAGGCCCUAGGUUCGAUCCCCAGCACCUCCA